rnacentral:lncRNA from 1 species
GCUUCCAGUGCUUUGAUGAAACCUCAGAUGUGUGACUUUCUGGCCAAGAAUCUGUAAUAUCAUAUUGCUGGAGCAUUAAUUGGGGGUUGUGGUUCUCUAUAAGUUUGCUGUGGCUGAACCAAGAAAGAAGGCAUGUGCAGAUUUCUACAGAAGUUACGAUUCUAUGAAAGAUUUUGAGGAGAUGAGAAAGGCUGAUAUCUUACAAAAUGUU